UACGAAGGGUGCAAGCGUUACUCGGAAUUACUGGGCGUAAAGCGUGCGCAGGCGGUCUGCUAAGAGAGAUGUGAAAUCCCCCGGGCUUAACCUGGGAACUGCGUUUCUAACUGGCAGGCUUGAGUGUGGCAGAGGGGGGUGGAAUUCCACGUGGUAAGCAGGUGAAAUGCGUAGAGAUGUGGAGGAACACCGAUGGCGAAGGCAGCCCC
rnacentral:rRNA from 1 species